rnacentral:rRNA from 1 species
UUGGAAACUGGAUGACUUGAGUGCAGUAGAGGAAAGUGGAACUCCAUGUGUAGCGGUGAAAUGCGUAGAUAUAUGGAAGAACACCAGUGGCGAAGGCGGCUUUCUGGACUGUAACUGACGUUGAGGCUCGAAAGUGUGGGUAGCAAACAGGAUUAGAUACCCUGGUAGUCCACACCGUAAACGAUGAGUGCUAGCUGUUCGAGGGUUUCCGCCCUUGAGUGGCGUAGCUAACGCAUUAAGCACUCCGCCUGGGGAGUACGACCGCAAGGUUGAAACUCAAAGGAAUUGACGGGGACCCGCACAAGCGG